GUUACGUUACAUCCAGUGGAAAGAAAUAGUACCUCUGGAGUGGACUGUCAUGGUUUAUCCAUAGCUUAACCACAGAACAUAGAUGUCAGGAGCUGUAUUUCUUCACUUUGGAUGUUCGAGAACCUCUGAUACUGCACAUAAAUCUGCACUGUCAGCUUGUAUCCAUGUGGCUGCAGAAUUGGGAGGAGUAACUAAUCCACCAGAUGCUUGUGCUGCAGUUCAGAGGGACCUUGGCUAGCUGGAGAAAUGCUCCAAUUUAUGAAGUACAGCAAAUGGAAAUACCAAGGCCUGCACCUGGGAGGAAUGACUCUAUCCAGCAGCGCACACUGGAGACCAGCUGGCUGGAAAGCAGCUUUGGAGAGAAAACCCUGUGACUCCUGUCAGGCAUCAAGUUGAUCAUAAGCCAGCAAAGGGCCUUCACAGCAAAGUUCAAAAAUGUCCUGGCUUGCAACAGGCUGCAAUGCCAGCAGGUCAAGGGAAGUGAUCCUUCCUCUCUAUUCAGCCCUGAUGAGGCACAUUUGGAGUGCUGGAUCCACUUCUGGGCUGCCCAGUACAAGAGAGACAUGAACAUACUGGAGCAGAUCCAGCAAAGGAGCACAAAGAUGAUGAAGAGAGUGGUGCAUCUGACCUCUGAGGAAAGGCUGAUUCAUUCUGGAGGGGGGAAAAAAAAAAAAGGCUCAAGGGGAGUCGUGUAAAUGUGUAUAAAUACAUAACAAGGAUCUGGAGACAGCCUUUUCUCAGCUGUAUUCUGUGGUAGGACUAGG
ensembl:lncRNA